UACGGAGGGUGCGAGCGUUGUCCGGAAUCACUGGGCGUAAAGGGCGCGUAGGCGGCUUCUUAAGCGGGUGGUGAAAGCUCGGGGCUCAACCUCGAGUCGGCCAUGCGAACUGGGAAGCUCGAGCACUGUAGAGGCAGGCGGAAUUCCGGGUGUAGCGGUGGAAUGCGUAGAGAUCCGGAAGAACGCCGGUGGCGAAGGCGGCCUGCUGGGCAGUAGCUGACGCUGAGGCGCGACAGCGUGGGGAGCAAACAGG
rnacentral:rRNA from 1 species